rnacentral:lncRNA from 1 species
AGUGGUGUGAAGGGUUGGGCUUUUUUUUUUGUUCCUAAAAAUGCAACGAACAAAAAAAAAAGUACAACAAUCCAAACCCAACCAUCUUGUUGCGCGCCAGCUUUCUUCCCGGGUGGCUCCACCGGGGACGGCGCCGCCUCCUGUCGCCCGCGCUCCGUCAGGCCCAGCCCACGAGUCUUAGCGAGCCGUCAGCCUGCCAGCGCCCAGGCUCGGCGGGCUCUGGGCACCGCGCUCCGCGCCGCGCGCAGCCCCUCUGGAAGGGAGAGAAGCGAGCAGCCCGGGACCCUCCCCUCUUCCAGGCGCACCGCAGGCGGUGGCAGUUAUUGGUGGCGGUUGUUGACACCGGAAGGACUCCCGCCUCACCUCACCCACCGCCCCCCACCCCCACCCCCACCCUGGGAAAGACGAGACUCGGGAGACAGAACAAAGGCGAAGCCCGGCCGAGGAGGCGGACCGAGGUGCCGGGAGAGGAGGGCGGUGGGGCGGGGCACGGCGGGCGCCGCGAGUCCAUUUUGCUGCGGUGCCCAGCCGGUAACGCGCGGUCCCCGCUGCUGGAGGACAGGCGGCCGCGCGGCUCCAGGUGGGGCCCCUCCCACGACCCCCCAAGUAGCCUCGUUUGAUUGUCAAUCACAACGUGAGAAAAAAACAAAAACCUGAUUGCUUUGUCCUGGGAAAUAGUAACCCUGACGAAUACACCUGCUCGCAGGGGACAGAGGUAAACUACAAUACUUCUCCCUACAUUAAGAAACCAAAAAAGCACCCAGUUUUUUUUUUUUUUUUUUUUUAAGCCCAGAAUCAUGCAAAAUUGAACUAGGUGCAGAAUGUGUUCCCAUCCUCAUGGGCGGUCUCUGUUCUUUUCAUAUUUUUUCAAAACUCAGGAGAAUAGAUUCAGUAUUUGGAAAAUCUUUAUGUAGCAGUUAUUCGACAUGUACUGCAGUCCACAGAUUUAUAAUGAAAAGGAAAAGAGAGGCCGUAGUAGCAUUUAUUUUUUUUUUAAGAUUUUUUUUUUCCUUCUCCCAUACUGUGCUGCUAGGACUUGUACAAAUACUGAGUUUUCUAACUCUAGAGACUUUUAUACAAUAGGUAUUUUAAAAGCAGAAUUCCAUUUACAUAGCCACUCCUUCUGGUAGAACUUGAUGGAGCUGUUGAUUAACUGGUUAUACUUCUGUCUUCCACAGUGAGAAGGUACAUUUCUUCAGGCUCUCCUUUUCUUAAAAAUACUAUCUUUUUUUGCACUAGCUGAGAUACUAAGCUUCCCUGGUAAGUCCUUCCAUAACACCAGGUUAUUCUUUCCAUUCUAUACACUUAUGACUGGCUGGUUACCUGGUCUUACUUGUACCAUAGCUACUGUUCAGAUAUGCCCGUUUCCAUGAAAGUGCUUUGUACCUGCUAUCCUAUAUAAUGCUUUACCUUUUCAAGAAAUUGUAGUUCAAGAGAGUCUGGCUCUUUCAGGACCUUUCUUGGUUAAUAUACUCAUGCUCUAAAAUAACACUUUAAAUGUGAAUUUACAUUUUGUGUAUUUGUACCCAACUGUAAUUAUCCACUUUACCUUUAUAUAGUUUAGCAAUUUACAAAACUGGCACUCAUUACUUAAUAUUCCCAGAAACAUGAUGAGGUAGAUAAUGUAAACAUCCUCAUUCU